rnacentral:rRNA from 1 species
UGCAAGUCGAACGAGGUCCAUCCAACCGUAAGGUUGGUGAAGACCUAGUGGCGAACGGGUGAGUAUCACGUGAGGAACGUGCCCCAGAGACCGGGAUACCAGUGGGAAACCGCUGUUAAUACCGGAUGCCCUCAUCGGGCCGCAUGACCUGAUGAGGAAAUGGAUUCCGCUCUGGGAGCGCCUCGCGGCCUAUCAGCUUGUUGGUGGGGUAAUGGCCUACCAAGGCUUCGACGGGUAGCUGGUCUGAGAGGACGAUCAGCCACACUGGGACUGAGACACGGCCCAGACUCCUACGGGGGGCAGCAGCAGAGAAUCUUGCACAAUGGGCGCAAGCCUGAUGCAGCAACGCCGCGUGGGGGAUGACGGCCUUCGGGUUGUAAACCCCUUUCAGCAGGGACGAAACUGACGGUACCUGCAGAAGAAGCACCGGCCAACUACGUGCCAGCAGCCGCGGUAAGACGUAGGGUGCAAGCGUUGUCCGGAUUUAUUGGGCGUAAAGGGCUCGUAGGCGGUUUGGCAAGUCGGGUGUGAAAGCUUCAGGCUCAACCUGGAGAUGCCACUCGAUACUGCUAUGACUUGAGUUCGGUAGGGGCGCAUGGAAUACCCGGUGUAGCGGUGAAAUGCUUAGAUAUCGGGUGGAACACCAGUAGCGAAGGCGGUGCGCUGGGCCGAAACUGACGCUGAUGAGCGAAAGCGUGGGUAGCAAACAGGAUUAGACACCCUGGUAGUCCACGCCGUAAACGUUGGGCACUAGGUGUGGGACCCUAUCGA